rnacentral:rRNA from 1 species
CACGUAGGGCGCGAGCGUUGUCCGGAAUUAUUGGGCGUAAAGAGCUCGUAGGCGGCCUGUUACGUCUGCUGUGAAAUCCCGGGGCUUAACCCCGGGCGUGCAGUGGAUACGGGCAGGCUGGAGGCAGGCAGGGGAGAACGGAAUUCCCGGUGUAGCGGUGAAAUGCGCAGAUAUCGGGAGGAACACCGGUGGCGAAGGCGGUUCUCUGGGCCUGUACUGACGCUGAGACGCGAAAGCGUGGGGAGCGAACAGG